rnacentral:lncRNA from 1 species
CUCUCUCUCCCUCUCUACUCUCACUAUUUUCUUUUCAAUCCAUCAUGGAAGAACACUCCAAAGCUUCUAAACACAUAGAUCCACCAUCACCAUUCCUAGAGCUAGCCUUCAAUCACCAAGAAUCAAGAGAAUGAUCAAGCUAGAGUUUCCAAACCCAAGUGGAUCAAAGAGUUCGCCAUUUUCUUAAAUAUUGAGGGUAAGUGGAUCAACCUUAAGAUUCCUUAAAUCUACCUCCAUUUCUUGAUGUUUUGAUGGAAGAAAACAAGAAAAUCAAACCCCUCCAUCAUUUCUCUAAUUUUCGAGAAUUGGGGGUAUUUUUACCCUUCAAAUAUUUUCACUUUCUUUUCUUAAAUCGAGGCAAUAAUUAUGUAAUGAGAACCUAUGAGUUGAUAUCCAUGAGUUUUUAAAAGGAUUAGAAAGGAUUUUGAAUUUUCAAAGAGUUUAGUUUGCUAAAAUUUGGGAAGUUUUGAUUGGUGAUGAGAUUUGAUGAAUUGAUGUCUUAUUCAUGCUAUUAAAUGACUCAAUUUGAUUAAUCUAAGGUUGAGUUAAUGAUUUAUGCAUGUUUGUAAAUUUUCAAAAAGUUUAGUUAGAUAUAAAAUAGGGCUUUUUGAUUUAUGUGCUAAUUAUUUGAAUUGGCUAAGGAUAAUUGAUAAUAAGCAUGAUAGUAAUGAUAGUUAAAGGUUAAUUUCGCUAAUUGUUGAUUAUAUGUGAAAUUGCUUGAGUUUAGUUUACUAGGAUUUGGGUAUUUUUGAAUUAUGAGAUCAAUGUUUGGAUUAAUGAUGUCUAUAUGCUAAUUGGACUUUAUAAAGGACUAUGGCAUGAUUAAAUUGAGAAUUUUGAAUGAAAUGAAAAGUGUUAGUUUGAGGAAGAAGAUGACAUAUAUGUGUAUCUAUAUGUGAUCUUGUUUUAUGAUGUUGAUUUGUGCUAAUUGGUAACCUAGGAUGUUAGAUCUAUGAUUUGAUCAAUAGGUUAUACAUGAUUAGUGAUAUUUUCAAAAGAUUUAGUUUAAUAAAAACUAGGGUUAUUAAUAAAUCUACGUGCUAAUUGUGUGAAAUCAGUUAAGUAUAUAAUCUUGAGCAUUUAAAGAGUUUGAGAUGAGAUUUUGGUGAAUCUCGUAGGCCUACUGACCUACUGUGAUCGAUGGUUUUUCGAUGUCUAAUAGCUUUGAAAAUUUUAUAGCAAGUCUCUACAUGAGUCUUGAGUACUCUGGUAAAAUUUCAAGUCAUUCCGACUUCGUUUGAUAUUUCUUUAAAAUACAAAACCUGAACUGCACAUUACUACCGACAAUUUCAGAGAACAAGGGAAAGAGUAAUUUAUUUCAGUAUCUUCCUGUGUGAUCUAGCUUUCCAAAUUUUUAUGGUAUUAAACUUAUUGUGUUAUCUAGAUAUUCACCAAAGUUGAGCCCAAUUUGACAACGCUUACUAUUUUUCAAAAAUCCAAGUUUUCGAUUGCUCAAAACUGCCGAAUAUGGUAGAUCGUGGUAAAAACGUCAUAUCUCUCAAACCACUUGGAUUUUUCGAUUCUACUUUUUUUUAUAUGAAACUAGACUCGAAGAUCUUUCUUUCGGUAUGAGUCUCGAGUCCAGGAGAUGUCGGAGUCAGAACAGAUGAAAUUUUGAAGUUGAAUCAGUGUAAAAACAGAGCAUGUUUUAAUGAUGUUUGAUUGUGAUUCUUAUGUGCCUUAUGUGAUUGUGUUGCCUAUGUGUUUGAAUGAGAUUAGACGAGCCUUAUAUGAGAGAUAAAUCAAGACUUAGAACCAUGAUUUUCUUGAAACUAUCCUUGAACUUAAGGAUUUGAGAUGAGUGGAGAGUUUAUAUAGAGUUGAGUAAGGAGAUAGAAUAUGAGAUAGAGCAUGAGUUAAGGCUUUAUGAGUAUGGAUUUUAAAAGGAUGAAAAUGUUUUAAAUUAAUUCCAUUUUAAUGGAGUUUAAAAUGCUUAUUUAAGUCAUUUAUAAAUGAAUAAUGAAAUUUCGUAUUUAUUUACUUACAUGGAAAUGAAAUGUAUAGAAUGUUAUAAGAUGGUGCAUGAUUAUUAUCUCUUAUGUGAACAUGUGAAUUUCUAAAUGAUAUUAAGUUUAAGGAUGUUGAAUUCUUUUAUUUCGUUUGUUAUGUGGUUACAUGAUAUUAUGUGGUUAGUCGAUGUUAUGUUGGUUUUUGAUUGUUUUAAUCGAAACGACUUAUGGAUGCUAGAACCCUAAAACACUAAAAGAUACCCUAAGCACGUAGAAUUAGACCUUGUCUUGUGACAAUUUUCUUCACGAACUUAUCGACUCUUCAUCAAUAAAGGUCCGGGCGACAGGAAGUGAAGCCGAAGAAGAAGCGACUCCACGCUAGCUUAAGAACGUUUGAGGUGGGCAUUACUUUUACUAUACGUAUAUAGAGAUCCCCUGCGUGUCGUAGGCCUCUUAUACGAAUAUAUGCAUGAGAUGAUUUUAACUGUUAAUUUCAGUUUAUUAUUAUGCCCAAAUGAUAAAUGACUCUUAUGAAAUGAAAAUGAAAUGUUUAUGAAAUGAAAUGAAAUGUUUAUGAAAUGAUUGACUGCCAAAAAUGUUUAUGUUUUUAUAUGUAUCCUAUCUGUGUUGGUUCGCCAACUUUAAAGGAAAUCCAAUUGGGAUCCUAUGCUAGACAAAGGUCGCUAGCUAGGGUUAACGUGUACACUCAUGGAGACCGCGAGUCGAUUGCGACCGGUCUUGGCGUCCGUGGUAAGGAGGCCUCCUUCCCGGCGCGUGAUAGAAAGGAACAGAUAUGGAUCAUAUGAAGGAAAAUGGGUCGGCCGGCCAAUCUUAUGAAAAUGAAAGAAAUGUUUUAGUAAGCGCAGGUCUUUCAAGAAAACCCUUGUGUGUUACUGUUAUGGCAGUUCAAUUUAUAUAUAUGUUAUGCAUGAAUGUAUUUUUCGGCAUAUGCCCACUGAGUAUUUUAUAUUCAGCCCUGCAUGUAUUUCUAAAUGUGCAGGUUGAGCAGCUGAUGGAAUGGAAUGGUGUUGAGCGGGUGUUCCUUUUUCAUUUCAAGAAAUGAAACCUUGAGUAUGCAUCUCCAUAUGCAUAACUCACACGUUUUCCGCUACAAACACUCUGACUUAUUUAUCGUUUCUACUUGAACUUAUUACUACUUCAUUUUGACUAACUUUCAUUUGGGGUUUAGUCGUUAUGGCAGGCUCGUUUGUAAAUUACCCAAGCGG